GAUGAACGCUGGCGGCGUGCUUAACACAUGCAAGUCGAACGAAGCAUUUGCUACAGAUUUUUUCGGAAUGAAGUUGCUUAUGACUGAUUGGCGGACGGUUGAGUACCGCGUGGGUAACCUGCCUUGUCCUGGUGGAUAUCAGCUGGAAACGGCUGAUAAUACCUCAUAAGCGCACAAUGUUUCAUGACGUGGUGUGAACAACUCCGGUGGUAUACGAUGGCGCCGCGUCUGAUUAGCUAGUUGUUGAGAUACCAGCCCAGCAAGGCGACGAUCAGUAGCCGACCGGGGAGGGGGAACGGCCAAAUUGGGAAUGAGACACAGCCGAGACUAAUACGGGAGGAAGGAGUGGGGAAUAAUGCAGAAAGGAGGAAAGUCUGAUGCAGCGACGCCGGGUGAGUGAAGAAGUAAUUCGUGAUGUAAAGCUGUAUCAGCAGGGAAGAGAGUGACGGUACCUGACUAAGAAGCGCCGGCUAAAUACGUG
rnacentral:rRNA from 1 species